rnacentral:rRNA from 1 species
UAUCAAAGGUGAGCCAGUACAGGAUGGACCAGCGUCUGAUUAGCUAGUUGGUAAGGUAACGGCUUACCAAGGCGACGAUCAGUAGCCGACCUGAGAGGGUGAUCGGCCACAUUGGAACUGAGACACGGUCCAAACUCCUACGGGAGGCAGCAGUGGGGAAUAUUGCACAAUGGGCGAAAGCCUGAUGCAGCAACGCCGCGUGAGUGAUGAAGGCCUUCGGGUCGUAUAACUCUGUCCUCAAGGAAGAUAAUGACGGUACUUGAGGAGGAAGCCCCGGCUAACUACGUGCCAGCAGCCGCGGUAAUACGUAGGGGGCUGGCGUUAUCCGGAUUUACUGGGCGUAAAGGGUGCGUAGGCGGUCUUUCAAGUCAGGAGUGAAAGGCUACGGCUCAACCGUAGUAAGCUCUUGAAACUGGGAGACUUGAGUGCAGGAGAGGAGAGUGGAAUUCCUAGUGUAGCGGUGAAAUGCGUAGAUAUUAGGAGGAACACCAGAUGCGAAGGCGGCUCUCUGGACUGUAACUGACGCUGAGGCACGAAAGCCUGGGGAGCAAACAGGAUUAGAUACCCUGGUAGUCCACGCUGUAAACGAUGAGUACUAGGUGUCGGGGGUUACCCCCUUCGGUGACGCAGCUAACGCAUU